AUGUUCCUGUUAUGGGCCGCUAAAAUAAGUGUGGAUCGGAAUUUAUUUUAUGGGCCACUAAACCGAGUCCAGCCAACUGAACUAGCAAACAAUCACAUCACAAGUCACAAGGAGGGUUCGGUGUCACGACGGUUUUGCAGAAUAGUCCCUGUAGUUUUUAUUAAUGAACCCGCACUUCAUGGAGACACAGGAUCGAGCAGUUUCCGUUUUGUACGUCGGCCUCCAGCCGGUGGUAUGUUCCUGUUAUGGGCCGCUAAAAUAAGUGUGGAUCGGAAUUUAUUUUAUGGGCCACUAAACCGAAGAGUCCAGCCAACUGAACUAGCAAACAAUCACAUCACAAGUCACAAGGAGGGUUCGGUGGCUAAUUAA
rnacentral:rRNA from 1 species